rnacentral:rRNA from 1 species
GAUGAACGCUAGCGGGAGGCUUAACACAUGCAAGUCGAGGGGCAGCAUAGGGUAGCAAUACUCUGAUGGCGACCGGCAAACGGGUGAGUAACGCGUAUGCAACCUACCCUGUACAGGGGGAUAACCCGGAGAAAUUCGGACUAAUAUCCCGUAAUAAUAUCCGGAGGCAUCUUUGGAUAUUUAAAGUUCCGACGGUACGGGAUGGGCAUGCGUAACAUUAACUGGUUGGUAAGGUAACGGCUUACCAAGGCUAUGAUGUUUAGGGGUCCUGAGAGGGUGGUCCCCCACACUUGGUACUGAGACACGGACCAGACUCCUACGGGAGGCAGCAGUGAGGAAUAUUGGUCAAUGGGCGCAAGCCUGAACCAGCCAUCCCGCGUGCAGGAAGACGGCCCUAUGGGUUGUAAACUGCUUUUCCAGGGAGAGAAACUUACGCACGUGUUGCGUGACUGACGGUACCCUGGGAAUAAGCAUCGGCUAACUCCGUGCCAGCAGCCGCGGUAAAAUCACGUCG